rnacentral:rRNA from 1 species
AGAGUUUGAUCCUGGCUCAGAAUGAACGCUGGCGGCGUGCUUAACACAUGCAAGUCGUACGAGAAAGCCGAAUUUCGGUUUGGCGAGUAAAGUGGCGCACGGGUGAGUAACGCGUAGGUGACCUGCCCUUGUGUUCGGGAUAACAGAGCGAAAGUUCUGCUAAUACCGGAUACGAUCUCUCUUUCGGGGGAGAAGAAAGUCAGCCGCUCGAAGAAGCUGGCGCACGAGGAGGGGCCUGCGUCCUAUCAGCUAGUUGGUAGGGUAACGGCCUACCAAGGCGACGACGGGUAGCUGGUCUGAGAGGAUGAUCAGCCACACUGGCACUGGAACACGGGCCAGACUCCUACGGGAGGCAGCAGUGAGGAAUUUUGCGCAAUGGGAGCAAUCCUGACGCAGCAACGCCGCGUGGGUGAUGAAGGCCUUCGGGUCGUAAAGCCCUGUCAGGUGGGAAGAAUGUCCUGGGGAUGAAUAAGCUCUGGGAGUGACGGUACCACCGGAGGAAGCACCGGCUAACUCCGUGCCAGCAGCCGCGGUAAUACGGAGGGUGCGAGCGUUAUUCGGAAUUACUGGGCGUAAAGCGCGUGUAGGCGGGAAGGCAAGUCUGAUGUGAAAGCCCCGGGCUUAACCUGGGAAGUGCAUUGGAAACUGCAUUUCUUGAGUGCUGGAGAGGAAGGGGGAAUUCCCGGUGUAGAGGUGAAAUUCGUAGAGAUCGGGAGGAAUACCAGUGGCGAAGGCGCCCUUCUGGACGGCAACUGACGCUGAGACGCGAAAGCGUGGGGAGCAAACAGGAUUAGAUACCC